AUUCCAGCUCCAAGAGUGUAUAUUAAAGUUGUUGCGGUUAAAAAGCUCGUAGUUGGACUGCAAGUUGAAGUGUGAAGUCCCCGGGGACGUUGUUCUCGGGAUCAAGGCUUUUGCUCCUCUUCUAGGAAAUUUGACGCAAAAACACGGGGUUCUCCUCGUGGUCAGGUUAGUUUUACUUUGAAUGAAUUAGGGUGUUCAAAGCAGGCGAAUCGCCGUGAAUACAUUAGCAUGGGAUAAUAAAAUAUGACAUUGGUCUAAUACUUAUUGGUUUCUGAGGCCAGAGUAAUGAUUAAAAGGGACAGUUGGGGUCGCUUGUAUUCAGUGGUCAGAGGUGAAAUUCUAGGACCCACUGAGGACAAACAAAUGCGAAGGCAUUCGACAAGGAUGUUUUCAUUAAUCAAGAACGAAAGUUGUGGGAUCGAAGAUGAUCAGAUACCGUCGUAGUCACAACCGUAAACUAUGUUGACUUAGGAUUGGGGGAUGUUAAUAGAUGACUCUCCUAGCACUAUGUGCGAAAGCAUAAGUAUCCAAACUCCGGGGGGAGUAUGGUCGCAAGGCUGAAACUUAAAGGAAUUGACGGAAGGACACCACCAGGAGUGAACCUGCGGCUUAAUUUGACCCAACACGGGGAAACUCACCCGGUCCGGACAUUGUAAGGAUUGACAGAUUGAUAGCUCUUUCUUGAUUUGAUGGGAGCCGGUGCAUGGCCGUUUUUAGUUGGUGGAGUGAUUUGUCUGGUUAAGUCCGAUAACGAACGAGACCUCAAUUUGCUAAAUAGGAUGCCUCACAGGGUGGUCUUCUGGCUUGUCGGGUUUCGGCUCGGCUUGUUGGGGGGUUGCCGUUUAGUUGUGGGGCAAAUUUUACUUCUUAGAGAGACAGUUAACAAGAAAGAUAGUUAAAGGAGGCUUGAGGCAAAAACAGGUCUGUGAUGCCGCUAGAUGCCCGGGGCUCACGCGCGUUACACUGAAAUUUUCAAUAAGUAUGAAUAAUUUUACCUUGCCCGAGGGGGUUUUGGUAAUCUAGAAAAACAUUUCGUGAUGGGGAUUGUAUAUUGAAACUAUUACACAUAAACGAGGAAUUCCUAGUAGGGGCAGGUCAUCAACCUACCCCGAUUACGUCCCUGUCCUUUGUACACACCGCCCGUCGCUUCUACCGAUCGAGCUACUCGAUGAAAACUCGGGAUUCGAUGAUUUGUCUGCCGCAAGGUGGGUGGUUGUUGGAGAACCUGUUUGAAUCUCGCAGCUUAGAGGAAGAAGAAGUCGU
rnacentral:rRNA from 1 species